CAAGCUUCAAUGCGUAGGAGGAAUCACCCAUGGUGUCGGGCCGUGAAGGGUCUAAGGCACGAGAAGGUAGGAUGCGGUAGAAAAAUAUUAAGAGUUAGGGUUUAAUUGCCCUGCUCUGAUACCAUGUGAAUUUCAUAUUUGACCAUAAUGAUCUUUUCAUUGAUAGGUACACUUGAUUUAUACAAGAGUAUACUAAUGUACAAGGAAACUAAUCCUAAAAUCUACGAAAUCAACUAGGAAAGAAAAAUCCUAAUUACAAUAGGAUUGAUAUUAAGGAAAAAAAAAAAAACAUAGCCACACCCUGGUCCCCUUUCUCCUUGCCGACAACCAACUGCAAGAAAGCUAAAAGGGGAGGUGGCCACUCCCCCUCCUCCCCUCCGCUCAUCUUCCCCUUCCUCUCCUCAUCUCCCUUUUUUUCUCCCAUCUUUUCCCUUCCUCUUAUCCCCUAUUCUCCUCCCCUUUCCAUCCCUAGAUAGCCUAGAUCUAUUUGGAUCUAGGUUUGUUUGUCUGUUUUGUUUUGUUUUGUUUUAUUGUUUUUGUAGUGUUCUAUGUGGCUAGUAUUGUCUUUGUCUCGGCGGAGGCGACAGUAGAGAUGCUGGAUUGUGUCUCUCCUCGGGAGAGUUGUGAUACAUGUUGGUUGAUGUUUUGUCUAUAUUUUAACAGCUGGAGCAGCAGCGACGCUGGUGGUAGUUGUUGGGAUGUUGUGCUCUUCUCUACUCUGCGCCGACCAAAGAACUAUGCUUGGUCAUAGGAAGUUUUCUUUGUCAGGUUUUGAGUUGAAGUGGAGUGCUUCUCAGAGGUCCUUUUACUGUUGUAUUUGUGUUCCUCAUCUGUGUUCUCUCCUGAUUUUUGCUAUGAUAUGCCUUGCGGUUUGUAUGAGUGUCAAAGGACUAUGAUUUUGCUCAUAAAAGGCUUCUUUCGACAAUUGGGAUGUUUUGCGGUCCUUUCCUGCGCGUUUACUAUUUGGGGUUUCUGCGGUCCUCUCAUGUGGGUCUACUAUGUUGGUCUCUAGUUGCAGUUCUCGUUGGAGG
rnacentral:lncRNA from 1 species